CUAAUGUAAUUUACAAAACCAAUGAUUUUGAAACAUUUCUAGUUUGUCUAGGAUUUCACUAUUCCUGUAAGUUUUUAUGUCACUUUAAUCUAAGAAUCAAAUAACUGUAAAAUCUUUACCUAAAAUAAGCGUAAAUUUAUUUAUAGAAAAGUCUUUUAUCAGCAAAAGUCUUGAGAUUUUAAUAUAAAUGUUUAAAUCAGGACCACAUUUCCUGUUGCAUAAUAUUGAUCUUGCCUAAAGUAGUUAGUUUUUCCAAGCUUUUUGAUUUGAUUCAAGUUCCUAAUGCAAUGUAAUUUUUAUAUAUAUAUUUAUUUAUUUUUAAUUGAAUACAUUUCACAGUAUAGAAAAUGCUUGUUUUUCAGAGGUCUUUGCUUUGAGUAAUUAACAGAGAAGCACUUAGCUUAAAACUAGCAAGCUGAUAAUUUCCAAAGUUAACCAUAUAUGUGCAGAAGUAAUUUUCCUAAAUGAUAGAGAUGUUCUGGAUUUUCCCCAUAGCAGUUUUUGUUUGUUUGUUUGUGAGAUUCAUUACAGAAUCUUUGGAUACGGUGAAGAGAAAAAAGGGAAAGAUAACAGAAGAAGUUAUGUAUGCUUUCAGUAGCUCACAUGCUGCAAAGUAAACAUGAUUCAUUUAAACUAGCUUCAAGAUUCAAUUUUAGUCUUCCUUCGCUGACCAAUGGCAGAGAGCAUUGCCUGAUGUGCUGGAAGCAGAGUUGGCUGACUGGUGGUAGUGCACGAUAUAAGGACACAUGCUACACCGAAAGUUGCUCAGUCGGGUAGUGAGAAUCUAGAUAUCCUAUACAGCUGUCUCCAAGGCAACAUAAAACUCAAGUGAACUCUGAGCAAUGCUGAGAACUUUCUGAGAAAAACAAACAAACAAAAAAAAAACAACAAACCAAAACCAAAACCCAAAACAACAACAAAAACAGUAAAAAACACAUUUAGUUCCUCUUUUCUGAUGUUUUGUGAUGUGAAAUGAUUUCAUUUAAAAACUUUUUACAAGCCAAAUUAGUUAUGACAAAGUGUCUUGGCUUUAUGUGAAAAGGGUUUGAUAGUGGAGGCCUGCAGGGGUGGCCUCUGAGCAGAGCCCAGCAGCUGCCCCAUGUCAGAUCAGAGACAGCUCCAUCUGGCUCCAAAAGGGACCUGCCACUGGCCAGAGCUGAGCAAGUGAGUGAUGUUGGUUCCACCACUGGGAGAACAGGUUGAAGGACGGGAAAAUCUGCUUCACAACAGCAGCUGGGAGAGUGAGGAAUGAGAACCAGCCCUGCAGCCCCCAAGGUCAGUGCAGCAGGAGGGCAGGA
rnacentral:lncRNA from 1 species